UGAGACUGUGCAGCCCUCUGUGCGCAGCACAGAUGAAAGGUCAAUGCCCCUACGUGCACAAAGUGAGACCAUGCACCCCUUGGCGACCAGCAUGGAGGAGAGACCACUGCCCCGGCGUUCUCGAAGUGAGACUGUACAGCCUGUUGUUCCCACCAUAGAGGAAAGACCAAUGCCCCUACAUGAAUUCCAACGUCAAGUGCUCCGUAUGCUAAACAUUA